UUGAGUCUCAUGAAGGGUUCUUGGCUGCAAGGGAAAGGAAUAAACACAAGUUACAGAAGGGUGGGGGUAAUGAUACUGAAGGAGAAGAAGAAAUGGGAGAAGAGGAGAAGGGUGAACUCAAAAAUGAAGAAGAAGAUGAUGAUGAUGAUGAGGGCAAAGAACACAAAAAUGAAGAUGAAGAAGAUGAUGAAGAAAGGAAGGAAGAGGAGAUUGAGGAAGGUAAGCGGAAAAGGAAGCGUAAAUUGUCUAUUGUUCAGAAAGCUUUACAGGAAAUGUGGGAGGAAUUUUAUAAUUUGGACUAUG
rnacentral:lncRNA from 1 species